GAAGGCUUUAGCUUAAUAAAAGUGCUUGAGUUGCAUUCAGGAGAUAUGGGAUAGUUCCUCAUAAGUCUUA
rnacentral:tRNA from 1 species